GAUGAACGCUGGCGGCGUGCCUAAUACAUGCAAGUCGAGCGAACGGACGAGUAGCGUGCUCCACUAAUGUCGGCGGGGUGCGUAUUACAACCACACGUUCCCCCUCCUUGUAGAUAAGGAAUCGCUAGGGUUACCAGUACCUAAUACGGUCUACUAUUUUAAACCGCAUGCUUCAAAGGCGAACGCGGGCCUUGCUGCCGCUGAUAGAUGAGUCCGCGCUGCAUUAGCUAGUUGGUCAGGUAACGGCUUACCAAGGCAACGAUGCGUAGCCGGCCUGAGAGGGUGAUCGGCCACACUGGAACUGAGACACGGUCCAGACUCCUACGGGAGGCAGCAGUAGGGAAUCUUCCGCAAUGGGCGAAAGCCUGAUGGAGCAACGCCGCGUGAAUGAUGAAGGUCUUCGGAUCGUAAAACUCUGUUAUUAGGGAAGAAAAUAUGUGUAAGUAUCUGUGAGCAUCUUGACGGUACCGAAUCAGAAAGCAACGGCUAACUACGUG
rnacentral:rRNA from 1 species